rnacentral:tRNA from 1 species
GGCGCUGUGGCUGAGCGGUAAAGCACUUGGUUUCUGAACCAGUGGACCCGGGUUCCAAUCCUGGUAAAGACU